rnacentral:ncRNA from 1 species
UAUCUUCAGGGCAGGGUGAAAUUCCCUACCGGCGGUUAUAGCCCGCGAGCCGAAAGGCAUGAUCUAGUGAAAUUCUAGAGCCGACAGUAAAGUCUGGAUGGAAGAAGAG